UUCAUACUCGUUUCUUUUUUUCCCCCCGAGCGAGCAAAUAAGACAUUAUUCAUCUUUUUUCUCUUCCGAAAGAUGUUCACCAGACGCAGGGGUUGAAAGCAACAGGGUUGGUGGGGAUACAGGUGGUGGCAAAUCGAUCCCGACUCCAUCACAGAAUUUUCACCAGUCUCUCAGAAACGUCCGGAUCGGCCGCAUCGCUCUUACCCUCUCAGGAACAUCACGCAGUUUCGUUUUUUUGUUUCAUUUUCGAAAAAAAGAAAAAAAAAAUUGUGCUCCGACCUCUGUGGAUUUUUGUAACGCCUGGCUUGUUUCGGGGAUGACCGACUGAACUCGCUAUUUUCCACAAAGGUAACGGAGCAGGGGUGCAAGAUGACGGAUGAUGAACCCUGCCAUUCUCGAGAAAGGAGUGCUUCCGAUGCGUUAAGUUCCCAAAGGGUCUACAAGAAAUCAUCGCCCAACAAUAAGCUCACACUCUACCUCGGAACGCGCGAGCUGAUCAUCUCGAACAAGAGCGUCGACAGGAUCCAGGGGGUCGUCUUGGCAGAUCCGGAAUAUCUUCAAAACCGUAA